rnacentral:lncRNA from 1 species
AUGCCUGGAGUUACUGUAAAAGACGUUGACCAGCAGUUCUUCAGAGCUCUGGCAGCCUUCCUCAAAAAGUCCGGGAAGCUGAAAGUCCCCGAAUCAAGUCAAGCUGGCCAAACAUAAAGAGCUCUACACAUGAGCUGCUUCCACAGCACAGCACCUGUACCUCCGCGGUGGUGCUGGGGUUGGUUCCAUGACCAAGAUCUAUGGAGGACGGCAGAGAAAUGGUGUCAGACCCAGCCACUUCAGCAGAGGCUCUAAGAGUGUGGCCCGCCGGGUCCUCCAAGCCCUGGAGGGGCUGAAAAUGGUGGAAAAGGACCAAGAUGGGGGCCGCAAGCUAACACCUCAGGGACAGAGAGAUCUGGACAGGAUUGCUGGACAGGUGGCAGCUGCCAACAAGAAGCAUUAG